rnacentral:rRNA from 1 species
UGGGGAAUAUUGGACAAUGGGCGAAAGCCUGAUCCAGCCAUGCCGCGUGUGUGAAGAAGGUCUUCGGAUUGUAAAGCACUUUAAGUUGGGAGGAAGGGCAUUAACCUAAUACGUUAGUGUUUUGACGUUACCGACAGAAUAAGCACCGGCUAACUCUGUGCCAGCAGCCGCGGUAAUACAGAGGGUGCAAGCGUUAAUCGGAAUUACUGGGCGUAAAGCGCGCGUAGGUGGUUUGUUAAGUUGGAUGUGAAAUCCCCGGGCUCAACCUGGGAACUGCAUUCAAAACUGACUGACUAGAGUAUGGUAGAGGGUGGUGGAAUUUGCUGUGUAGCGGUGAAAUGCGUAGAUAUAGGAAGGGACACCAGUGGCGAAGGCGACCACCUGGACUAAGACUGACGCUGAGGUGCGAAAGCGUGGGGAGCAAACA